rnacentral:rRNA from 1 species
GGCCAGCAGCCGCGGGUAACACCGGCGGCCCGAGUGGUGAUCGUGAUUAUUGGGUCUAAAGGGUCCGUAGCCGGUUUGGUCAGUCCUCCGGGAAAUCUGAUAGCUCAACUAUUAGGCUUUCGGGGGAUACUGCCAGACUUGGAACCGGGAGAGGUAAGAGGUACUACAGGGGUAGGAGUGAAAUCUUGUAAUCCCUGUGGGACCACCUGUGGCGAAGGCGUCUUACCAGAACGGGUUCGACGGUGAGGGACGAAAGCUGGGGGCACGAACCGGAUUAGAUACCCGGGUAGUCCCAGCCGUAAACGAUGCUCGCUAGGUGUCAGGCAUGGCGCGACCGUGUCUGGUGCCGCAGGGAAGCCGUGAAGCGAGCCACCUGGGAAGUACGGCCGCAAGGCUGAAACUUAAAGGAAUUGGCGGGGGAGCACAACAACGGGUGGAGCCCUGCGGUUUAAUUGGACUCAACGCCGGACAACUCACCGGGGGCGACAGCAAUAUGUAGGCCAAGCUGAAGACUUUGCCUGAAUCGCUGAGAAGAGGUGCAUGG